AAAAAGUCGUAACCAUCAUCUACAACCCUGACUUGACUUCCUAAACAUGCAACGUACAUUUGCAUUUGUAAAAUAUAGCUAACAAAAUGCUUCUCUGACCUGUUGUUUGUAUGAGUUCUGGCUAAAGGUUCAUUUGAAAAAAGAUCCAACUUCUAAUAAUAUGCGUAUAAAAUCACCGUCCCAAGAAAAUGAUCAUUUCUUACUUGAAGGUUUAGCUUCAAGCAGACUCACGGCAGCUCUGUUUGUAACAGGGGUCAGCCAACUAUGGCCCAUGGGCUACAUUUGGCCACCCCCUGUUUUUGUAAUAAAGUUUUAUUUAAACAAACAAAUUCCUUUAUGCAUUCUGGCUGCUUUUGCCUAUAAUGGAAGAAUUAAAUCGUUGCAGCAGAGACUUUAGGCCCCACAAAAAGUAGGACAUGCGUUAUCUGGCCCUUGACAGGAAACGCUUGCUAACUCCUGGUUCUUACUGAGGGAAAAUUACAAGCAGCCUGAAUGUUCAAGAAAAGGGGAUUGGUCAAAUUACUACAGCGCAUCCCUUCAGCAAAUAGAGUGCCCGGCCCCUGGUGCUGUUGGCAGCCGCCACUUGCCAGUUCUGGCUUGGAAUCCCUGCCUUCUCACCAGCACUACCUGUUGACCCUUUUCUCCAUGUAACCUGCGUCCCCUAGCCCCACAUUGGGUCCCUUCUGCAUAAUGAAGGCCUUUCAGUCUUCCGGGGGAUGCUCGCUUUUAAUAAAAAUGGCAGUAGUCGUUGCCAUUGACCCUGCCUGGGCCUGGGCUUACAUCCUCUCUCUUUCUCAGCCUCACCUGCGCAGGGCGUGUGAUAGCAUUCCCAUCUGACAGGUAAGGCUCAGAGAGGUGAAGGAACCCAUUCAAGGUCACACAGCUGACUCUCCAGUUUUUAGCUGGACCCAUGGAUGCGUGAGAUGAAGACUCUAUUUCCCAUUGUCCUUUGCGGCUGGCUGUCAUCACGUGACUCGGUGCUGGCCAAUAGAAUAAAUAAUCCAGCUAAUAAAUGAAGAAGCGAUGAUGGGAUGUCACCAUGUUAACCCCCAGGGAAUUACCGGGUCUAGGCUGCUAAUGUCAUAAGAAGGAGGCCAACUAGACGUUAUGUCCUUUCUGUGGGAGAACACAACACCUACUACGAAGGACACUUGCCAAAAAAACAGAACAAAACAAAACCCAGAUCUUAAUCUGAUCAAACCUCUAGACUUGAAUAC